rnacentral:lncRNA from 1 species
UCAGCAAGGUGUAGGUGAAACUCGUGCAGGUGUCAGAUUUCAUGUGGAACGUCAGCCAAUGAGACAUUCACAUCGCAGCCCUGUCAAACGCGCACAGGAGUUAAGACAGCCAGGAAGUUCCCAUUCCGCCAGGAAGGUUGACAUAGGAGCUCAUAUGAGAAUAGAGACAGUCAUCAGCGCAUGUGAACGACACAUCCAGCAGUGGACUAAAAUUUGAAUAAGAAGAUGCUGCGUUUACUCUUUCUGUUUUUGAUUCUUCGAGGUGCAGCUGCAACAUCAGAAGACACAGAAGGAAAUUAUUCAGGAGAUUACAUCGUUGACGAUGAAGACGGUGAUGCUCCAGUGGAGACAAGGCGUAUUCAAUAUUCAGAUCCUGGAGAAAUUCCUAAAGUAGGUCCCGGAUCAGAUAGAUCCACAGGAGAUGAUGAAGCUAAUGAAGGUGGAACAUUGAUAAUCAUCAUAGCUGCCGUUAGCGUCAUAGUUCUGGCCAUUGGAGGCAUUGUAGCUAUUUUCCUCUUCAGACGCUACUUGCAAAGCCGAGAACAAGGGGUCUACUCUGUGCCAGCAGAGCAAGGACAGAAAGCUGCUGUCUAA